GUACUGAUGAAGAGUCCCAAGUAGGACGAAACAGCUUGCUGUCCAAUAC
rnacentral:hammerhead_ribozyme from 1 species